UAUUAUGGCCAAGAAAACCAGAGGGAAUAUUGAAGAGAGAACAAAGGAAGUGAAAGCAACAUGAUGCAAUGAGUUACAGUGAGAUACGAAAAUGGUGUUAAUGGGAGGAGUUGGAGUACCCUCAAUCUCAAUCUGUUGUUUGUUCCAAACAAGACCCACCAGACAUUUGUGUCUCAAAUUCAGAUUGAAACCUUCGCUUUCACAUUCAAUCACUAGCAUGGCAUUGACCAACAACAACAACACCAACACCAACGAAAGGAAGCUUCCGAUUCUGCUGUUUGAUAUCAUGGACACCCUUGUUCGUGACCCAUUCUACCAAGAUGUCCCUGCCUUCUUCGGAAUGUCUUUGAAGGAACUCAUAGAUUGCAAGCACCCCACUGCUUGGAUUGAGUUUGAAAAGGGUCUAAUUGACGAGAUGGAGCUAGCAAGAAAAUUUUUUAAGGAUGGAAGGGAUUUUGAUUUGGAAGGCCUAAAAUCUUGUAUGAGAAGUGGAUAUUCAUACAUAGAAGGCAGCGAACAGUUGCUUCUUUCCUUAAAGCAAAAUAACUAUGAGAUGCAUGCUUUUACAAAUUAUCCUAUAUGGUAAGACAGUUAUUUUUCUAUUGUGAUUUGUGUUUUUCUUUUCAUGGCAUCCUACUGAAUGUUUUGUAUUGUAGGUACCAGUUGAUUGAAGACAAGUUAAAACUAUCAAAAUAUUUAUCGUGGACAUUUUGUUCGUGGGCAUUUGGAAAGAGGAAGCCUGAUACUGAAUUCUAUAAGGAAGUCGUAAGGCAUCUUAAAGUUGACCCAACAAAUUGUAUUUUCGUAGAUGACAGGCAAAAAAAUGUGGAGGCAGCAAUUGAAGUUGGCAUCAGAGGGGUACAUUUCCAGAAUGUCAAUUCACUGUGUGAAAAACUGUCACUGAUGGGGAUUGACAUCUCAACAGAUGAAGAUAUAUAGCUUAUUUGAUUUGAUUCUGUUUCUUAACUACACCAAUUUCUUUUUAUUGGUGGAAAGGGGAUAUACCAAACUCUUAAUUUUACAUUCCAUUUAUACCAAGCUAUUGAGCUUUGUUGAAGUGAUUUCUGAUUUUUUAUCCUUAAAACAAUGCAUCUUUAUCUUCUUUGCUA